CGUAAAGGUGGAUGAGUGGUGUUUGGUUUGUUACGUGUGGUUGGGUGCGGCGUUUGCAACAACUUCCAUGCUUUCAGACCUYUUCAUUUGUGCGGCAAGGCUUGUAUYGCCUUGAGCGUAUUGUGGGUUUUCUGUGUUGAAUACCUAAUCAAUGGUAUCGGUUGGAUUGAUCWAUGUUUCAUUUCGUCUGUCGUCGCAUUCGCGGCGUGAGAUGAACCUUGAUGCGGUCUUUUUGAUCCACCUCGUUGAAGCSCRYGCUUUGACGUUGUGGCGCAUUGAGCAUUGCUUGGUCUCUUGUAUGCGGAACAUGUAGUGGGCAUGAAUCUCACGAUUCUCGUUUGCCCUCAUAUUAGCGUAAUGCUUCUCUUACACGACUUGCUCCACGUUUUAGCUCGUACGGACGUGGU
rnacentral:misc_RNA from 1 species